UACGUAGGGAGCAAGCGUUGUCCGGAAUCAUUGGGCGUAAAGCGCGCGUAGGUGGCCACAUAAGUCCGUUGUGAAAGUCAAAGGCUCAACCUUUGAAAGCCGAUGGAUACUGUGUGGCUAGAGUACGGAAGAGGCGAGUGGAAUUCCUGGUGUAGCGGUGGAAUGCGCAGAUAUCAGGAGGAACACCAAUAGCGAAGGCAGCUCGCUGGGACGGUACUGACGCUGAGACGCGAAAGCGUGGGGAGCGAACAGG
rnacentral:rRNA from 1 species